rnacentral:rRNA from 1 species
CAGUCGCCACGGUAAUACGAAGGGUGCAAGCGUUAAUCGGAAUUACUGGGCGUAAAGCGUGCGUAGGCGGUUAGUUAAGUCUGUUGUGAAAUCCCCGGGCUCAACCUGGGAAUGGCAAUGGAUACUGGCAAGCUAGAGUGUGUCAGAGGAUGGUGGAAUUCCCGGUGUAGCGGUGAAAUGCGUAGAGAUCGGGAGGAACAUCAGUGGCGAAGGCGGCCAUCUGGGACAACACUGACGCUGAGGCACGAAAGCGUGGGGAGCAAACAGGAUUAGAUACCCCGGUAGUCCCUGUCUCUUAUAC